UGGUAAGAAAGGCGUAACUCC
rnacentral:piRNA from 1 species